rnacentral:rRNA from 1 species
UUAGGAAUUUUGCGCAAUGGGGGAAACCCUGACGCAGCAACGCCGCGUGAAGGAUGAAGGCCUUCGGGUUGUAAACUUCUUUCGACAGGGAAAAAACAAAUGAUGGUACCUGGAGAAGAAGCACCGGCUAACUACGUGCCAGCAGCCGCGGUAAUACGUAGGGUGCAAGCGUUACUCGGAUUUAUUGGGCGUAAAGCGCAUGUAGGUGGUUUUAUAAGUCUGAUGUGAAAGCCCUGGACUCAAUUCAGGAACUGCAUUGGAUACUGUAAGACUAGAGUAUGGGAGAGGUAGGCGGAAUUCUUGGUGUAGAGGUGAAAUUCGUAGAUAUCAAGAGGAACAACAGAAGCGAAGGCGGCUUACUGGACCAUAACUGACACUGAGAUGCGACAGUGUGGGGAGCAAACAGG